GUCCCCGUAGCUCAGCAGGAUAGAGCAGCAGUUUCCUAAACUGUUGGUCGCAGGUUCAAAUCCUGCCGGGGACGCCA
rnacentral:tRNA from 1 species